rnacentral:rRNA from 1 species
CGCGUGUACUGGUCCGGCCGGGCCUUUCCCUCUGUGGAACCCCAUGCCCUUCACUGGGUGUGGCGGGGAAACAGGACUUUUACUGUGAAAAAAUUAGAGUGCUCCAGGCAGGCCUAUGCUCGAAUACAUUAGCAUGGAAUAAUAGAAUAGGACGUGUGGUUCUAUUUUGUUGGUUUCUAGGACCGCCGUAAUGAUUAAUAGGGACAGUCGGGGGCAUCAGUAUUCAAUUGUCAGAGGUGAAAUUCUUGGAUUUAUUGAAGACUAACUACUGCGAAAGCAUUUGCCAAGGAUGUUUUCAUUAAUCAGGGACGAAAGUUAGGGGAUCGAAGACGAUCAGAUACCGUCGUAGUCUUAACCAUAAACUAUGCCGACUAGGGAUCGGACGGUGUUAUAUUUUGACCCGUUCGGCACCUUACGAGAAAUCAAAGUGCUUGGGCUCCAGGGGGAGUAUGGUCGCAAGGCUGAAACUUAAAGAAAUUGACGGAAGGGCACCACCAGGGGUGGAGCCUGCGGCUUAAUUUGACUCAACACGGGGAAACUCACCAGGUCCAGACACAAUGAGGAUUGACAGAUUGAGAGCUCUUUCUUGAUUUUGUGGGUGGUGGUGCAUGGCCGUUCUUAGUUGGUGGAGUGAUUUGUCUGCUUAAUUGCGAUAACGAACGAGACCUUAACCUGCUAAAUAGCCCGUAUUGCUUUGGCAGUACGCUGGCUUCUUAGAGGGACUAUCGG